UACGGAGGGUGCAAGCGUUAUCCGGAUUUAUUGGGUUUAAAGGGUGCGUAGGCGGUUUGAUAAGUCAGCGGUGAAAUAUUUCAGCUUAACUGGAAGGGUGCCGUUGAUACUGUCGAGCUUGAAUUUAGUUGCUGUGGGUGGAAUGUGUGGUGUAGCGGUGAAAUGCAUAGAUAUCACACAGAAUAUCGAUUGCGAAGGCAGCUCACAAAGCUAAUAUUGACGCUGAUGCACGAAAGUGUGGGGAUCAAACAGGAUUAGAUACCCCGGUAGUCCC
rnacentral:rRNA from 1 species